ACUUACAGCAGCUUGAUAAUCUUCCGAGGUAGCACCUGUAUCAGCUAAUUCGCCGUGGAUUGGAUCACCCUUCGGCUUCUUAUAACUAGCUGACAUGUUCUUCAGGCGCCAGAGGACAAAGUUCAUCUGCUUGGUGGGUUUAGAACUCACCUUAGUUUCUGUGAGAUUAUACUCAUGGAGUACCCAAUUGGUCUUCUUUGAUUUCGGCAGACGACCUUCGUAGAAUGUCAGAAUCCUCUUCUUCCCAAUCACAGCUUUGGAUUCUUCAGCCCUGAUCUUACGAUCCAUUCCUGUGAUCUUGUAAAAGCCUUGACCCGUGGUCCGGUUGCAGCGAGUGCCGUUGUACUUGUAAUCGAGCCGGCUAAAGAAGAACCACUCCUUCCCAUGAACUUCUGGGAAGAAUGCUGAAAUCCAACAACAAAACAAAAUUUUCAAAUUUUGAAACCAACCCACUCCAACUCUUGAAGAACAAAAAACACAAAUACUGAAACAAGAUCAUAAAUUUUUGGGUGCAACAAUAUUAUACAAUAGGAAAGAGAUACGGAUCGGCUAUUUAAAGGGAAAUUAAAUCGAAAUGCAACACAAAACAAAAUUUUUGUUUCUUGAUACAACACAAAACAAUAUAUUGAAAUUGAAACCAACCCACUUCAAUUCUUGAGGUACAAGUGAUAUUACUACUUUAAGCUAUACUAAGGGGAGGGAGGAGGGUUUGAACCCGGAACAUCGAACUCCAAUUCUUGAGGUACAAAAACACGAAAACUGAUAAGACCAUAAAUUUAUGCAUACAACAUCAUACAAUAGAAAUAGAGCACUGGAAUCACCACAGAAAACAACAAAUCGAAACCAACCAAAUUCAAUUCUGAAUGAAGAAAAACAGAAAAACUGAAACAAGAUGGUAUAGAUUUACAUAAACAACGGCAGAAUCCAUUGGAAACAAGAUGUAUGGCUAGUGAAGAAAAAGUGAGAUAGAUUAAUGGGUUUACCAGGAAUAUCGCAGGGCUCGUACUUGCAGACAUCGAUUUCAGGGAUGACGUGGCGGAAAUGGGAGUCCGUCCCCUCUAUCUUGUUCUUCAGGUAGUAGCUGACCAGUAACUCAUCAGUGGGGGAGAAUCCGAACCCAGGUAGUCGGCUCACAUUCACACGCAUUGCAUCUCCUUCUUCAGGUGCGACGCUGCCGCUCAUCUCUCUCUCUCUCUCUCUCUCUCUCUCUCAACUUUGAACUGUGAUUAUCGAUCAGUGUUUUGGAUUGUGUGGGGAUGCAGAAUGAGUGAAGUUGUAUUUAUAUACGCUCAUCAAAGACCCACUUUUGAAAGUUGACUAGUGUUUUACCACGUCUUUGAGCUCGUGGUGCAAGUUCAUCUUUUGCUCCCUACACUUACGGGAUUUCUUUCAUUUUGGUCUUCUAAUUAUUUCUUAUAAUUUAUUUUAUUUGAGUUAUAUUAUAAUUUAAUUUAAAUUACAGUGUGAUAAAUUUUAACUUAGGUGAUGAAAUGAGAGUAUAUUGUUUUAGCUAACUUAGCUACGGUUAAUUUUACACGAUUUUAAUUACAAAUCAUAUUACUCUAGGCAACAACACUAAGAGAUGUAGGAGAUUAUAUACCCUAGGCUAGUGGGCUGAAGAAUAAAAUCCUAUCUAAACAAGACAAUCUUCCACUUAGUUUUUAUUACAAUUAGAAACCAUUUGAAUUGAAUUGCACACACCAUUUAUUAAUUUUUACAAGAAAUGACAGCGAGAUUUUAUUUAUCAAUCAACAAAUUAUACAUUUACAAAAGUGCCAAAUGUGUAAAUGUAUCAUCCCACAUCACCCAGGGGAGUGGAUCAUGUAAGCCUUAUAUGUAUAUUCUCAUCUCUACCUAGCACGAGACCUUUUGGGAGCUCACUGGCUUUGGAUUCCAUCGGAACUCCGAAGUUAAGCGAGUUCGAGCGAGAGCAUUCCCAUGAUGGGUUACCCAUUGGGAAGUUCUCAUGUGAGUUCCCAAAAACAAAACCAUGAGAGCGUGGUUGGGGCCCAAAGUGGACAAUAUCGUGUUACGGCGGAGUUGAGCCUGGGAUGUGGUGGGGGCCUGGGUCGGGAUGUGAUAGUUUGGUAUCAGAGCCAAUCAUUGGCCGGAUGUAUGCCGACGAGGACGUCGGGCCCCUAAGAUGGGUGGAUUGUAUCAUCCCACAUCGCCUAGGGGAGUGGAUCAUGUAAGCCUUAUUUGUAUAUUCUCAUCUCUACCUAGCACGAGGCCUUUUGAGAGCUCACUGAAUUCGGGUUCUGUAGGAACUUCGAAGUUAAACGAGUUCGCGCGAGAGCAAUCUCAUGAUGGGUGACCACUGGGAAGUUCUCUUGUGAGUUCAUAGAAACAAAACCGUGAAGGCGUGGUUAGGGCCCAAAGAGGACAAUAUCGUGCUACGACGAAGGCAGGGCCCGGGAUGUGAUGGGGGCCUGGGCCGGGAUUAGGCCUGGCAAACGGGUCGUGUUUAUCGUGUUCGUGUCGUUUUUGUGUAACACCUGUUAUCUUAACGGGUAGUGUCGUGUCACACCCGUUAUCUUAACGGGUCCUUAACAGGUCGGGUCACUUUACCCAACGAAUAAAAUGACCUGACCCGUUAAGAAAAAUAUUUUUUUUUCCUUAAAUUUGCACAUACCACACAUUGCCACAUAAAUAUUACUUCAAAACGUUAAAACACAUUUGUCGUUUAAGUAUUACAUCUACACUCGAAAAUAAGAGCCUAAUAAACAAAUAUCCAUACACUACUAAUCUAUUACAAAAUAUUAAAUGUGCAAGGAUAUGCAAAAUGAAAGAGUUUUUGUUUUCAAGGUUGUGAAGCCUUUCUCAAAAGUUUAAACAUUGGCAAUGGAACUCAAAGCUUGCAUGUUAUUCCUUUUACAAAAUCCUCAACUUUCAUCGAUCAUCAUGACAUAAGAUUUUGUGGUAUCCACUAGUGUAAAUAUUUUAAAUUGAAGAUCGAAUUCAUUCAUUGUAUUCAUAUAGGGUCAAGGAGUGUAGCUGUAAAAAAUCAUCAAAAUCGAAGUUAAAAGAACCAUCAAAUCGUGAUUUUUCGUUGAUAACUGUCGAAAAAUUUUGUCCCGUUACUUGAUCUCUGAAUGUUUGUUUUUUGUGAUUUUUGGCGUAUGCGAUCUUGAAGAAUAUACAGACAAGUUUCAUUGUUGGAUCAUUGAAAUUAGUUUCGUAGAAUGUGUAUUCCAUCAAAAUGAUAGAUUCACUAACACUUAGAAUUUAUUUAUACUUUCAUUAAGUAUAACAUAAGAUUUUAUGGUAUCCACUAGUGUAAAUAUUUUAAAUUGAAGAUUGAAUUCAUUCAUUGUAUUCAUAUAGGGUCAAUGAGUGUAGUUGUAAAAAAAUCAUCAAAAUCGGAGUUAAAAUAACUGUUAAAUCGUGAUUUUUCGUUGAUAACCGUCGAAAAGUUUUGUCCCGUUACUUGAUCUCUGAAUGUUUGUUUUUUUGCAAUUUUUUGGUGUAUGCGAUCUUGAAGUAUAUACAAACAUAUUUGACGGUUGGAUCAUUGAAACUAGUUUCGUAGAAUGCGUAUCCCAUCAAAACAAUAGAUUCACUAACACUUAAGACUUUAUUCAUACUUUCAUUAAGUAUAACAUAAGAUUUUGUGGUAUCCACUAGUGUAAAUAUUUUAAAUUGAAGAUCGAGUUCAUUCAUUGUAUUCAUAUAAGGUCAACGAGUGUAGCUGUAAAAAAUCAUCAAAAUCAGAGUUAAAAUAACCGUUAAAUCGUGAUUUUUCGUUGAUAACCGUCGAAAAGUUUUGUCCCGUUACUUCAUCUCUGAAUGUUUGUUUUUUGUAAUUUUUGGCGUAUGCGAUCUCGAAGUAUAUACAAACAUGUUUGACGGUUGGAUCAUUAAAACUAGUUUCGUAGAAUGCGUAUCCUAUCAAAACAAUAGAUUCACUAACACUUAAGAGUUUAUUCAUACUUUCAUCAAGUAUAACAUAAGAUUAUCUGGUAUCCACUAGUGUAAAUAUUUUAAAUUGAAGAUCAAGUUCAUUCAUUGUAUUCAUAUAGGGUCAAGGAAUGUAGCUGUAAAAAAUCAUCAAAAUCGGAGUUAAAAUAACCGUUAAAUCGUGAUUUUUCGUUGAUAACUGUCGAAACGUUUUGUCCCGUUACUUGAUCUUUGAAUAUACAAACAAGUUUGACGGUUGGAUCGUUGAAAUUAGUUUCGUGGAAUUCGUAUCCCAUCAAGUUCAAUGGUGUAUAUACAUUUAUUAAGUAGAUUUAAAUUUAUUUAUUUUGUACAUAUAAUAAGAAAUUGAAUGGUCUAUAUAUUUAAGCUGAUCCAAUGGUCUUUAAUAUUUAAUUUAAUAUAUAUAUAUAUAUAUAAUUAUUAUAGUUUUUAAGGGUAUAAAAUUGUUAAAUUAAUAUAUAUAUAUAUAUAUAUAUAAUUAUUAUAGUAUUUUUUUGGGGUUAUAAAAUUAUUAAAUUAAUAUUUUGCUUAUCGUGUAUCGUGUUACACACGUGUAUACCCGAACCAACCCGUUAUCUUAACAGUUGCUUAUCGGGUUACCCGAUUACGACUCGAUUCAUUAUCGUGUCGACCUGAACACCUGUUAAUUUCGUGUCGUGUCGGAUUAUCGGGUCAUGUCAAGAAUUGCCAGGCCUAGCCGGGAUGUGACAAUUAAGGAUUAAUAAUUUUAAUUUUAAUCUAGAGAUAAUUUACAUAGAUAUACAAAAAUAGUAAAUUUCCUAUAUGGCAACCACCGCAUGAUAUGAACCGUAGUAGGAUUCUCUCCCUCCUAUUCUUAUCCCCUUCUCUCUCCGCUUUUCACACUUUAUUUUUUACCUUAUUGUCUCUAUAAACAAAAUUAAUGUAAGAUGUUGAUGUAAUUUAAUUGUUCAAGUAGGAAGGGAUGAAAGGGAAGAGAAUCCCGAUUCCAAACGUAAAAGUACUUCUAAAAGCUAAACUUCCAAGAGGGGUUGUCUCCCAGUCCCUCAAAGGGAAAGGAAAAAGGAAAACUGCCAAGAGGGGUUGAUCAAAAGGGCAAAAUAUAUUAAAGAAACAAAACGCGUGGCACCUCAGCUGACUUGUUUAGAAACCCAGGACUUAAUUGGUUGGGAUCAAAUACUACUGGAGUAUUCUGAAGUGAGUAAACUACUUGCAGUUGCAUCUUCUUCUCAGUUCACACACAUAAACACAUGGGAACAUUGGGAAGCAACAGAAAAACAAGAGGAGGAGGGGUUUCAGACCCGGUAGGGUUCAGAUUCUACCCCACUCCGGAUGAAAUGGUGGACCAUGAAGAGAAUAAUAGAGUAUAUAAAAAUGUGAAAGAUGUUAACAGUUAGUUAAAGUUACUGUUGUAAUAAUUUCUUUUACUUGAAGCUCAAGAAACAGGACAAGGAUUUCAAAUCUGAUACAUGGGAGUUGGAAAGCCUUGCUCACAAAAAUAAUCGUUCCUUGUUUGUGAAGGCAGAGCAUCACGUCACUACGUCUACUGUGCAUGUCCAUGUCCAUGAGGAGUGACAACUGACAAGAAUGUUGACAAAGUUAUAACAGAUGUCGAAUUUACAAACGUGUGCGGAAAUGCCUUUGAGUGUGGAUCCCACCACUUCCUAUCAUGUCUUUUACUUUGUAAUUGGAGAUGGAAAAGCCAAAAUUCAAGCUUGUACUAUUCUUUUCUUCCCUAGAGACGACUAUCGAUUUUUCUUGAGUAGCAUAUCAAUUUGGUAUCCACAUGUAUUUGAUUAUAAAGUUGAUCUUAUUGGUUUUAAUUGAGGGUUUGAAAAUCGUUAGAUCAAAUUCAAAAAUCCUAUACUUGUCAAACGUUGUACCUAUAAGUCGAGAAGAAAAAUUAGUUUGAGAGUGUUGACGGAAACUUGUAAUUUGAGAAUAAAUUUCUUCCAUCACAAGUUCGCCGUUACCCGAAAAGAAUAGGGUUUGUUAUUUAAGUUUGGACCCGUUCACGAUUAAUUGUAAUUUUGUAAUGUGCCACAAGAGAAACACUCUUUGAUUAAAAUUACGAAGAAAUGUCAUUUAAGGGGAAUGAUGGUUUGUUUGAUUUUGUAGCUUGCCUACGUAUCCUUUUUUAGGAGAAUCAAGUCGACUCGUAAUUCAAUGAAAUUUGGAUGGCCAUUUAGAGAACUUGGAUCCUCUCCUGAGCUAAUGGAGAGGAUCCUCCUGACCAAGUGUUAUGGGUCGUUAGAUUUUCAUCUAACGGGUAUAAUUAUUAUAACUUUAAAAGGACCCACCUGUUUGUAGUCGUUGAAUAAAAAUCCAACGGCCCACAACUCUUGGUUAGGAGGAUACUCUCCAUUAGCGUAGGAGAGGAUCCAAAUCCCCAUUUAGAUAUGGUGUUUGAAGUGUUUGGGGGUAAAUUUGGUUGUGGUUGUGUCUAGAAUCUAGUACUAGACUGGCUAUAUAUUUUUUGUGGGUCCAAACCAAUCAAAGUGGAUUUUGGUGAGACUUCUUGCCAUUUGAGUGCGGCUUUGUGCCUUUUUAAUUUUAGAGCGACUUUGUGCCUUUUUAAUUAAUUGGGCAGUUAACGAAAAUUUGGCCUUUAAUUUUAGAGCGACUUUGUGCCUUUUUAAUUAAUUGGGCAGUUAACGAAAAUUUGGCCUAUUAAUUUGUAGUGGCGCAAGUCCAAUAAUUGGAGAUGGCAAGUUCAUCGUUUGAACAAAAAAAAAAAGAUAAAAAAAAGAGAGAGAUGGCGAGUUCAUCGAGGUUUGUGCUUUGAGUUGAUUCGUAUCAAAAUAUGUCUGAGGAGUUGUCUUCACACCCAUUAUAUUUGUAUUUGAUAACCGGGUUGAUUUAGAAUUAUCUUUUAGUCUCGAUGCCUCUUCCAUUUUUUAGCCCAACACUUAACAAAUAGGCAAAAAUGAUGAGAUCAAACAUAUAUUCUGAAAUCACUUGACUAGGGGCAUCAAAAUAACUCAAAGUUGCUAAUCAUGAAUGUCACUCAUAAACAUAGGAGAAAUCACUCAACUCUAAUUGCAAAAUUGCGGAGAAUAUGCUUCUCUUUGUUAUACACCUUAUUUUGCUUAUGCUGCCACUAGCUAAAACUAUUAUUCCCUAGAUUAAACCACUAGAAAUCAUCAUAAAGCUGAAACCAAACUUAAACUCAAACAACUGAAUACAAUAAUUCAAAAUAAUUAUUCAGUAGCAAUUACAUAUUCCAAUUAUAUCCGAAUGCCCUAAAUUAGUGCGCCUCUUUCCAAUAUUGAUAGAGAUUUUAAGUUUGAUUGGAAUAUUCUCCCCUCGUUUACAUAAAGAAAAAGCUGUUGUAAAUUUGCAUUCAUUCGAUGUGGACUUGUUCUACUUUCUCAGAUUUUAUCAUGUGAGUUGCUGAAACUAUGGACUCCUGAUUACAGCUGAAUAUCCUUCCGGUCUUUUUUCUUCUUAGUUGGGUGUGACAUAGAUAACACAGUUAUGUUAUAAAAUCGUGCAGAUUUUUAGCAUUAUUUUGGUUCCAAUUUCUAACUUGAUUGGAAGCCAAAAGGAACUUAAAGCCGAUCAAUCACGUUAAAACAUAUGGCAAUGCUUGAUGAGCUUUUAGAUAAGACGUCCCAAGUGAGAUGAGUAUCGGCCUUUGGGGGAGGGCGGAAAAGAGCCCCGACACAUCAAAAUGCGCUAAGUCAAUACUCUAGUGAAUUUUCCUCUUCUAUUGCUCCCUAACUAAAGGAAAGAGUGGAAACAAUUUUUUCUUCUUGUGUGGACUGAAAAAUGAGAAGAGAAUAUAACACAAAAUUCCACUGAAAUUGAAAGGUUUUAAAUAAACAACAUUAACAGCAAUACUACAUGAAAGGAGUACAGAAAAAAGAAGAAAUGCUGCACAGGAACGCAGCAGCUAAUGCAGGGAAAUUAAUUAAAGCAAUACUUACUAGAGAUCAGAGUUUCAAUCUGAAGGUUAUCAAAGAAGUAUCCCAGAUGUUCCACUGGCUCUGCAAUCACAUCACUCACAGCAGCUUGAUCAUCUUCCGAGUUAGCACCUGAAUCAGCUAAUUCGCCGUGGAUUGGAUCAUCUUUCGGCUUCUUAUAACUAGCUGACUUGUUCUUCAGGCGCCAGAGGACAAAGUCCAUCUGCUUGGUGGGUCUAGAACCCACCUCAAUUUUUGUGAGAUAAUACUCAUGGACUACCCAAUCGGUCUUCUUUGAUUUCGGCACACGACCUUCGUAAAAGGUCAGAAUCCUCUUCUUCCCAAUCACAGCUUUGGAUUCUUCAGCCCUGAUCUCACGCUCCUUCCCUGUGAUCUUGUAAAAGCCUUGAUCCGUGGCCCGGUUGCAGCGAGUGCUGUUGAUGUACUUGUAGUCGGGCCGGCUGAAGAAGAACCACUCCUUCUCAUGAUCUUCUGGGAAGAAUGCUGAAAUCCAACAACAAAACAAAAUGUUCAAAAUUUGAAACCAACCCACUCCAACUCUUGAAGAACAAAAAACACAAACACUGAAACAAGAUCAUAAAUUUUUUGGUGCAACAAUAUUAUACGAUAGGAAAGAGAUAUGGGUUGGCUAUUUAAAGGGAAAUUAAAUCGAAAUGCAACACAAAACAAUAUAUUGAAAUUGAAACCAACCAACUUCAAUUCUUGAGGUACAAGUGAUACUACUACUCUAAGCUAUACUAAGGGGAGGGAGGAGGGUUUGAACCCGGAACAUUGGACUCCAAUUCUUGAGGUACAAAAACACAAAAACUGAUAAGACCAUAAAUUUAUGCAUACAACAUCAUACAAUAGGAAACAACAAAUCGAAACCAACCCAAUUCAAUUCUGAAUGAAGAAAAACAGAAAACUGAAACAAGAUGGUAUAGAUUUACAUAAACAACGGCAGAAUCCAUUGGAAACAAG
rnacentral:lncRNA from 1 species